UACAGAGGUCCCGAGCGUUGUUCGGAUUCACUGGGCGUAAAGGGUGCGUAGGUGGUGAGGUAAGUCGGAUGUGAAAUCUCCGGGCUUAACCCGGAAAUGGCAUUGGAAACUACCUUGCUAGAGGAUUUGAGGGGGGAUUGGAAUACUUGGUGUAGCAGUGAAAUGCGUAGAUAUCAAGAGGAACACCAGUGGCGAAGGCGAGUCCCUGGACGAUACCUGACACUGAGGCACGAAAGCCAAGGGAGCAAACAGG
rnacentral:rRNA from 1 species